AUGGACCUUCGAGAAAGUACAGUGGUAGAAAUGAUCCAAAGGGAUGACAGGUCAAAGUGGUUGUCAUAUAGCAAUCAUAACAUAAAAUGCUUCACAGAGGGUGAGAUAAAAAGAAUUACCAGCAACUACGAAACUAUCAUCGGAAAAGGCGGCUUUGGAGAAGUUUACAAAGGUGUUCUCCAAGAUGGAAGAACAGUUGCAGUCAAGAGAUUUAUGAGUAAUAUAGAAGAAAAUUUUGCAAAAGAGCUGAAAGUUCACUGUGAAAUCAACCACAAGAAUGUAGUUAGGCUCAUAGGCUACUGUGCCAAGGAAAAUGCCCUAAUGAUAGUCAGUGAGUAUAUAUCUAAAGGGAACCUCAGCAAUGUUCUUCACCAUGAACGCAUUCCCAUCACGUUGGAUACACGACUGCGUAUCGCGGCGGAGUGUUCAGAGGCAUUGUGCUACAUGCAUUCACAAAUGUAUACUCAGGUCAUUCAUGGUGAUAUCAAGCCUGCCAAUAUACUAUUAGAUGACAACCUCAAUGCAAAAAUAUCUGACUUUGGAAUAUCAAGACUUGUCAACACAGACUCGACCCUUUUCACUGAGCAUGUAAUAGGGAGCAUAGGUUACAUGGACCCUUUGUUUGCUCGCAGCGGGCGUCUCACCCCAAAGAGUGAUGUUUAUAGCUUCGGAAUCGUUCUGGUUGAAUUGAUUACAAAGAAAAAGGCAACAACAAGAAAUGGGGAAACCGGCAUAGUUGAAUGUUUUACCCAAUCUCUUGUAACAGAGAAGAGAAAGGUGAGAGAGUUGUUCGAUGUUGAAAUCUCAAGCCAGAACAACAUGAAGGUACUUGAAGGGGUUGCAAAGCUAGCAGGACAAUGCUUGAGAAUGGAGGUAGAUAGACGCCCUGAGAUGCGAGAUGUGGCACAACGUCUUCGGGCACUUCAGAAAACUCAAGUUCAAGGAAAACAAACACCAACUAUUUUUCCUUGGGGGUGGAGGAACAAGCCAGCAGCCGGGAACAACUGGCAAUCUGCUAGCUCAGUCACGCCACAAUCUCUCCCAUCCAACUUGUGCCGCCAUUUCUCACUUCGGGAGAUGAAAUCUGUGACAAGAAACUUUGAUGAGUCACACGUUGUUGCUCAGAGUGGAUCUGGUACAGUUUACUAUGGAGUGAUUGAUGGUGGGGCAACCAAGGUGGCUAUCAAACCAUGCAGAGGUGUGAGUAAGUUCCAGACAGAGAUAGCGAUGAUGGCAAAGCUCCGCCAUCAUCAUCUCGUAUCAUUGGUCGGUUACUGCAAAGAGAAAAACCAGAGGAUACUGAUCUACGACUACAUGGCUCGUGGCAGCCUGCGUGGGAACCUUUACGCUAACAACACCGAGGAGCCGCCACUUACUUGGAGGCAGCGUCUAGACGUCUGCAUUGGUGCUGCUCGUGCCCUGCAUUACCUUCACGAGUGUGCCAUCAUCCCUUUUGUUGUGUCGACAACAAACAUUCUCCUAGAUGAGAGAUUGGUUGGCAAGUUUUCAAGUACAGUCUCUCUGCGGCAGGAUAGCACGGAUGUGACCCCCACACUGCAUAUGGGACGUCUGGGUUGUGUCGAUCCUGAAUUUUACUGCACUAGGCAACUAACACAGAAAACCAAUGUGUAUUCUUUUGGUGUCGUACUGUUUGAGGUUUUGUGUGCUCGGGCUGCUUAUGAUCCCUAUCUUCCAGAAAGACAAGCGCACUUGGUAGAAUGUGCCCUUAGUUUCCAGAAGAAGGGCAUCCUUGAUCUGAUUGUUGAUCCCUAUCUUGAAGGAAAGAUUGCUCCGCGGUGCUUGAAGAAGUUUGUGGAUAUUGCUGAGAAAUGUGUUAGUGAUCGUGGUAUCGAUCGCCCUACAAUGCAAGAAGUGCUUGAGAAGCUGGAGAUGUGCCUCACAGAACAAAGCGGAAGCCUUGAUGAUGAGACGCCAGACGAUGAUGACACUAAUGGUCCUUCAAGGACAGAUCGCCGGCUGAACCUGGAGAUGUACCUUGCAGAAGACGAUGAUUCCAGCCAUUGUGGUUUGGUAUCAACCUUCGAAUAUGAUGACAUGGAAUGUGCUUCUGAUGGUGGUGUGGAUUCCGAUUCCGAAUUGCUAAUGCCACGAUGA
rnacentral:rRNA from 1 species